rnacentral:rRNA from 1 species
AACGAACGCUGGCGGCAUGCCUAACACAUGCAAGUCGAACGAGACCUUCGGGUCUAGUGGCGCACGGGUGCGUAACGCGUGGGAACCUGCCCUUAGGUUCGGAAUAACUCCCCGAAAGGGGUGCUAAUACCGGAUAAUGUCUUCGGACCAAAGAUUUAUCGCCUUUGGAUGGGCCCGCGUUGGAUUAGCUAGUUGGUAGGGUAAAAGCCUACCAAGGCGACGAUCCAUAGCUGGUCUGAGAGGAUGAUCAGCCACACUGGGACUGAGACACGGCCCAGACUCCUACGGGAGGCAGCAGUGGGGAAUAUUGGACAAUGAGCGAAAGCCUGAUCCAGCAAUGCCGCGUGAGUGAUGAAGGCCUUAGGGUUGUAAAGCUCUUUUACCCGAGAUGAUAAUGACAGUACCGGGAGAAUAAGCUCCGGCUAACUCCGUG